rnacentral:rRNA from 1 species
CCCUUAGAUGUUCUGGGCCGCACGCGCGCUACACUGACUACUUCAACGAGUUGUUUCCUUGAUCGAAAGGUCUGGGUAAUCUUUGAACGUGCAUCGUGCUGGGGAUAGAUGAUUGCAAUUAUUCAUCUUCAACGAGGAAUUCCUAGUAAACGCAAGUCAUCAGCUUGCAUUGAUUACGUCCCUGCCCUUUGUACACACCGCCCGUCGCACCUACCGAUUGAAUGGUCCGGUGAAAUUCUCGGACGCGGACUUGCGAUGUUAAUUCGGAGCUUGACUGUGAAAGUUAAUUAAAUCUUACCAUUUAGAGGAAGGUGAAGUCGUAACA